rnacentral:rRNA from 1 species
AACGAACGCUGGCGGCAGGCUUAACACCUGCAAGUCGCGCGCCCCGCAAGGGGAGCGGCAGACGGGUGAGUAACGCGUGGGAACGUACCCUUUGCUACGGAAUAGCUCCGGGACACUGGAAUUAAUACCGUAUGUGCCCUACGGGGGAAAGAUUUAUCGGCAAAGGAUCGGCCCGCGUUGGAUUAGAUAGUUGGUGGGGUAAUGGCCUACCAAGGCGACGAUCCAUAGCUGGUCUGGGAGGAUGAUCAGCCACAUUGGGACUGAGACACUGCCCAAACUCCUACGGGAGGCAGCAGCUGGGAAUAUUGGACAAUGGGCGCAAGCCUGAUCCAGCCAUGCCGCGUGAGUGAUGAAGGCCUUAGGGUUGUAAAGCUCUUUCACCGGAGAAGAUAAUGACGGUAUCCGGAGAAGAAGCCCCGGCUAACUUCGUGCCAGCCGCCGCCGUAACAC